AUUCCUCUCUCUCUCUCUCACUUGCUCUCCAGCUAGCUUCCCUCUUCGUUCUCUUUUCCCUUUUCUUUACAGGAUGUAAACCAAGCCGAAAAUCUCGCAAAUUUUGAGCUGUUUUCUUCUUUUCCUUUCGCUUCUUGCUUUCCUCCUCCUCAUCGAUCGAUCGAUCUCUUGGUGAUGGUGAUUGUGGUGGGUUAAUUUGGGAGGAGGAGAGUGGCGCCAUGGCUGCUGCAGAGGGAAGCAGAUCUGCACCUACCGCCAUAGCUAUCUCGCCUUUCAAGAUCUGGAAAACCUCCAUCUCCGUUAUAGCUGAAUGGGGCGUCAUUUGCAAAACGUCUCCAUCUCAACUGAAACAACAGUCGCGCGUUUGGGUCAAGGUGACAGGUGUUCUAUAUCGUCAGUAGCGAUUGUAUAGUGGCUGGAAGACAAAGAAAGCUCUCUGCGCAUUGCUUGUUGUAUAUGUUAGGAUUACGGAAAGGUGCGACUGUAAGAGUGCUAUGAUCCUGUGUGGUGCCUGCAACUCAUGUUGUGUGUCAUUCAGCAUUCCUACUUCUGCAUCAAUUGUUUUCAAGUUCAAUUUUAGGAUGGUAGACCAUUAGUGGCCGCCAAAAGAUAUUAGCUACCUAUCUGUAUAAUUUAAUCUGAGAUGUAAAAUGGAAAAAAAAUAAUUAACCACAUAGAAAACGCGCGCCAGCAAAGCUAAGUUUAUUAGUAGGAACUUGUUUCCAUGCCUAGGAAAAAAUGUGCACUGAACAUUAAGCAUCAUAUACAAAGAAAAGGGACAUGUUACGUGCCUAGCUUAAACUUAGAACGACUGCUCAUUUUCUCAAAAAUUGUUGUAUUAUAGACUUCUGGUAGCUAGUGCCCUAAAUUAAACAGAACUAGUGAAACAUGCUUGUUAAUCACACAUAUUAGUUUGAAGCCAAUUACUAAUGUAUGUCGUGUGGAGGAAGCACCAUUGGUGUGGUGAUGGCGUCAUGAAAUGCAUGACUGAAUGUUUUAAUUACUUCAUUUGUCCCAAAAAGAAAGAUACAUAUAUCUUGUUUAUUACUGUUGUACGUAUCUGUUAUUGAAUGGAAUUCUGAAUAACAUGAUCCACUUUGUUGUACAUGUCUUACUACAUCAUCUCUUGAUGUGUCGAUGGUGAAUCUGGCAAGUAAAAUAACCUGGUAUUUAUGACUUUAUGUUUGGUAAGCAUCAUCCAUUGUUUCUUCUGUCAUGUCUGAAUAUGUAGCUUCAUAUUUUGUGCUCACUUAUAUACCCUGGUGAUGUCUAUCUGAUGUAGGGUUGUUUGCUUAUGUUUAUGCUUUUCGUUCUUUUAUUUUCGAGGAUUAUACUUUUAGUUCUUGCCUCGGUGCCUCAUUCCCUGCUUGAACUCUCAUGCAGUUUCUCUUGAAGAAUUUUGACACGUUGGUAUACGUACCAUAAAUGCCAACAAAUUAAGAAUUCUUCUCUGGGCUGCCCAGAAAUCAUUGCCAGUUUUAUUACGACAAUUCAUUCUCCAGUCUGUACUCUGUUAAUUUUACACUGUGGAAUCAUCACCAUGUAAAUUUUGGACAUGGCUGUAUUUAUCUUUCACCUUGUGAAUCACUUAAUACAACCUGAUGAUUUGUGAUCU
rnacentral:sRNA from 1 species